GACGAACGCUGGCGGCGUGCUUAACACAUGCAAGUCGAACGGAAAGGCCCUGCUUUUGUGGGGUGCUCGAGUGGCGAACGGAUGAGUAACACGUGAGUAACCUGCCCUUGACUUUGGGAUAACUUCAGGAAACUGGGGCUAAUACCGGAUAGGAGCUCCUGCUGCAUGGUGGGGGUUGGAAAGUUUCGGCGGUUGGGGAUGGACUCGCGGCUUAUCAGCUUGUUGGUGGGGUAGUGGCUUACCAAGGCUUUGACGGGUAGCCGGCCUGAGAGGGUGACCGGCCACAUUGGGACUGAGAUACGGCCCAGACUCCUACGGGAGGCAGCAGUGGGGAAUAUUGCACAAUGGGCGGAAGCCUGAUGCAGCAACGCCGCGUGCGGGAUGACGGCCUUCGGGUUGUAAACCGCUUUCGCCUGUGACGAAGCGUGAGUGACGGUAAUGGGUAAAGAAGCACCGGCUAACUACGUGCCAGCAGCCGCGGUGAUACGUAGGGUGCGAGCGUUGUCCGGAUUUAUUGGGCGUAAAGGGCUCGUAGGUGGUUGAUCGCGUCGGAAGUGUAAUCUUGGGGCUUAACCCUGAGCGUGCUUUCGAUACGGGUUGACUUGAGGAAGGUAGGGGAGAAAUGGAAUUCCUGGUGGAGCGGUGGAAUGCGCAGAUAUCAGGAGGAACCCCAGUGGCGAAGGGCGGUUCUCUGGGCCUUUCCUGACGCUGAGGAGCGAAAGCGUGGGGAGCGAACAGGCUUAGAUACCCUGGUAGUCCACGCUGUAAACGGUGGGUACUAGGUGUGGGGUCCAUUCCACGGGUUCCGCGCCGUAGCUAACGCUUUAAGUACCCCGCCUGGGGAGUACGGCCGCAAGGCUAAAACUCAAAGGAAUUGACGGGGCCCCGCACAAGCGGCGGAGCAUGCGGAUUAAUUCGAUGCAACGCGUAGAACCUUACCUGGGUUUGACAUGGAUCGGGAGUGCUCAGAGAUGGGUGUGCCUCUUUUGGGGUCGGUUCACAGGUGGUGCAUGGCUGUCGUCAGCUCGUGUCGUGAGAUGUUGGGUUAAGUCCCGCAACGAGCGCAACCCUUGUUCACUGUUGCCAGCACGUUAUGGUGGGGACUCAGUGGAGACCGCCGGGGUCAACUCGGAGGAAGGUGGGGAUGACGUCAAGUCAUCAUGCCCCUUAUGUCCAGGGCUUCACGCAUGCUACAAUGGCUGGUACAGAGAGUGGCGAGCCUGUGAGGGUGAGCGAAUCUCGGAAAGCCGGUCUCAGUUCGGAUUGGGGUCUGCAACUCGACCUCAUGAAGUCGGAGUCGCUAGUAAUCGCAGGUCAGCAACGCUGCGGUGAAUACGUUCCCGGGGCU
rnacentral:rRNA from 1 species